GAUGAACGCUAGCGGCAGGCCUAACACAUGCAAGUCGAGGGGCAGCACAGAAACAGCAAUGUUUUGGUGGCGACCGGCGGACGGGUGCGUAACGCGUAUGCAACCUACCUUUAACAGGGGGAUAACGGAGAGAAAUUUCCACUAAUACCCCAUAACAUCGAUCAAGGCAUCUUGAUUGGUUGAAAACUCCGGUGGUUAAAGAUGGGCAGGCGUUGUAUUAGGGAGUUGGUGAGGUAAUGGCUAACCAAGCCUACGAUACAUAGGGGGACUGAGAGGUUAGCCCCCCACACUGGUACUGAGACACGGACCAGACUCCUACGGGAGGCAGCAGUGAGGAAUAUUGGUCAAUGGGGGCAACCCUGAACCAGCCAUGCCGCGUGCAGGAAGACGGCUCUAUGAGUUGUAAACUGCUUUUAAACAGGGAUAAAGCACAGUAUGUAUACUGUGUUGAAGGUACUGUAAGAAUAAGGAUCGGCUAACUCCGUGCCAGCAGCCGCCGUAA
rnacentral:rRNA from 1 species